GACGAACGCUGGCGGCGUGCUUAACACAUGCAAGUCGAACGGAAAGGCCCUGCUUUUGUGGGGUGCUCGAGUGGCGAACGGGUGAGUAACACGUGAGUAACCUGCCCUUGACUUUGGGAUAACUUCAGGAAACUGGGGCUAAUACCGGAUAGGAGCUCCUGCUGCAUGGUGGGGGUUGGAAAGUUUCGGCGGUUGGGGAUGGACUCGCGGCUUAUCAGCUUGUUGGUGGGGUAGUGGCUUACCAAGGCUUUGACGGGUAGCCGGCCUGAGAGGGUGACCGGCCACAUUGGGACUGAGAGACGGCGCAGACUCCUACGGGAGGCAGCAGUGGGGAAUAUUGCACAAUGGGCGGAAGCCUGAUGCAGCAACGCCGCGUGCGGGAUGACGGCCUGCGGGUUGUAAACCGCUUUCGCCUGUGACGAAGCGUGAGUGACGGUAAUGGGUAAAGAAGCACCGGCUAACUACGUG
rnacentral:rRNA from 1 species